CAAGCUAUUUUAGAAAAAACACACAAAAUACUGCAAAUCGUUUGACCAAUGCAAACAAAAAGCGGCGAGACAUGGAAAUGACGUUUCUUCUCGCUGUGAGACAUCAGAAAUUGCUUCGCUUUUUUGUUACUUUUUGCUCCAUACCUUUUGUUACCUUUUACCCCAAGUGGUUAUUUUUAUAAAAGAAUUUCUGGAGAAAAGAAUCUUCGAAAAAUUCUAAAAUACAUAGCGGCUUCGUAUUCAAUGAAUCCAAGUCAUUUAGGAAAUAAUCAUCAGUGCAUAAAUUUUGAAUAAUAAGUAGGUAAUAACUGAUAUAUUCUUCAAGGAAAACAUUUUAAAAAUAGGGCUAAAAAUUUCAAUAUUUUUUUUAUUUUCUGAAAUCCUUGUUCGAAUUCUAAGAAACUUACGACUUUGAAGAAGGUCUAUGGAGGCCAUAUAUGGAAAAAAAUUUUAAGUCGCUAUUUUUAUCUUGGAAGAUAUUGAAUUUUCAAAUUUUCAAUUCGUGACUUUUUGCCCCAGUGUCCCCUAUACAUUGUUUUAAUACAAGAAUUUCACAUUUUGGUCAAACAGCUGUCAAAUAGGAUCUGUCAAAAAAAAAAUUAUAUAACCUGAAUGUCAAGGGUCGUCUGGCCCCUUCUAAAGCAGAGAUGAGUAAGAACCGUUUCAAACCGAAUAAACGUCAAAAUAAUUUUGUUCAGGUAGCGUUUUGACCAUUGGCGUACAGUUUACAUUUGACGUUUCUCAGGUUUCAAAACGGUUAUUGCACACCUUUGCUAUUAAGAAAGGAAGUAGAAUUUUGAUUGAUUAUCAAACUCUUUCAACUCAAAUCUUUUGUUUCAUUGUCAUCUUGGGAUUUUAAACAUUAAUUAACAUGACAGCUGUCAAAUAUCAUAUGUCAAAAGUUUGACUUAUAGCCCUUGAAGUCUAUUCAAACAAUAAGUCGUUGCAGUCUCAUUUUUAUACGAACUUCCUACAUUGCCUAAUUUUACAGCUGUCAAAAAUAUAUUUGUUGAAUUUAAAGCGCUUUUAUAUCUAUUGGUCCCAUCUAUACAAAUACUUGGAAAAAAUCAGUGAAAAAAAUUGAUAGGGAAAAUAUAAGACGUGCAGUUGGAGAAGCUCUUUUGUAAAUAGCGCAUGCGAUUCACAGUCCAAAUGGCCUCUCUGUUCGGUGAAAAGUUCUUUGAGGAAAACUAAACCAGUAUUUGUUAGCACACAUACGGUUUAAUCUAUUGUCUAUGGCCGUGAAGGAGGAAAACGCAAUUCCUGUCUGCCAUCCUGCCAGUGAUCGUGGGAUAAAGGAUGCGAUGUGACUUGUGAGUGUUCCUGGUGGACUUUGAGCAGCAAAAAAAGUCCUAACCACGUACAUUUUGGGCUUGGAAAAAGCCCCUCACCGAAGAAAAAAAGUGGCAAGUGAGAGUAAGAUGAAAAAAGACGUGAAAACUCGUGCACGGGAAUCUUGCCAAGUGGAAAUUAAUUUGAGAAUUUGUUGAAUUUGUUGAAUUUCUUGUGUUGUCUUUUGGGGGAUACUGUGAGGAUUUUGUGCAGUUUAUUGGGUGGAAAGGGCCAGAGCCUUUGCCUGGGUGAGGUGGUGGCCAAAGUGAGAAAAGCUCAAGUGCGUUGGAUAUUAAUGUGAGGGUGAAAAGUGACCUCCCUGGGAGGAGGUUUACAGGCAAGAAAGACUCUGCCCAACCGAAUGUCAUUGAGACUUUUUUUCUAGAAAGAGUGCUAAGGGAUAGUUGUUAGAGAGCAAUUCAAUUCAGUCGACUGGCCAGAAGAUUUAUUCCCAAUGUGUGACAUUCCCUAACUGAUAAGAAACUGUGUUAAAGAGUCCAGUCAGUGCAUUUUUUGGGAUAUUUAUCAAAAGAGUUUCUGUGUCCUCCGUGGAAGAUGCUGUGCUUUAGGUGGAUGCUAAAGAAUUGUGUGAAGGCGUAGCACAGAUUGCUGAAGAAAGUGAAGCACAACGUGAGCCGCGUGGAUCGGCAUUAACCAUUUCCCGUAUAGAUUUCAUAGAGAGAUGGGGCCUCACACCUGUUCUCAGGCCCAGACAGGAGCCUCGGAUCAGCGGUGAAAAUCAAACCAAUGCACUGCCCCCUCUUCUCACCGACAGGU